rnacentral:rRNA from 1 species
GUGGGGAAUAUUGGACAAUGGGCGAAAGCCUGAUCCAGCAAUGCCGCGUGAGUGAUGAAGGCCCUAGGGUUGUAAAGCUCUUUUACCCGGGAUGAUAAUGACAGUACCGGGAGAAUAAGCUCCGGCUAACUUCGUGCCAGCAGCCGCGGUAAUACGAGGGGAGCUAGCGUUGUUCGGAAUUACUGGGCGUAAAGCGCGCGUAGGCGGUUUUUUAAGUCAGAGGUGAAAGCCCGGGGCUCAACCCCGGAAUUGCCUUUGAAACUGGAAAACUAGAAUCUUGGAGAGGUCAGUGGAAUUCCGAGUGUAGAGGUGAAAUUCGUAGAUAUUCGGAAGAACACCAGUGGCGAAGGCGGCUCACUGGCUCGAUACUGACGCUGAGGUGCGAAAGCGUGGGGAGCAAACAGGAUUAGAAACCCGAGUAGUCC